AUGACGUUUCAUUCAGUUUUACAACAUGUUAGAACGUGUUGCUUUUAAGUUUCAAUUUCACUUUUACACCGUAGUAGGCCCCUAAUGGCCCACAUCUAUUGUGCUUAUAGUGACUGAUGACGCCUAUUUAAUGUCCUGAUAACAGCCUUCUCAGCUGUCAAUCA